AUACGUAGGGAGCGAGCGUUGUCCGGAAUUACUGGGCGUAAAGGGCGCGUAGGCGGCGCUUCAAGUCGUCUGUCAAAUGGGAGGGCUUAACCCUUUUUCGCAGACGAAACUGGAGAGCUUGAGAAGCAGAGAGGCAAACAGAAUUCCUGGUGUAGCGGUGAAAUGCGUAGAUAUCAGGAAGAAUACCAGUGGCGACGGCGGUUUGCUGGCUGCAUACUGACGCUGAAGCGCGAAAGCCAGGGGAGCAAACGGGAUUAGAUACCCCGGUAGUCCUGGCAGUAAACGAUGUAUGCUGGGUGUGGGAGUAGCGAUACCUCCGUGCCGAAGUUAACGCGAUAAGCAUACCGCCUGGGGAGUACGGUCGCAAGAAUGAAACUCAAAUGAAUUGACGGGG
rnacentral:rRNA from 1 species